UACAGCCAUAUCACUUUGAAACACCAGUUUCUCAUACGACCACUGAAGUUAAGCCACAUCGAGCCUGGUUAGUACCUAGAUGGGUGACCGCUUGGAAAUACCAGGU